rnacentral:rRNA from 1 species
GACGAACGCUGGCGGCGUGCCUAAUACAUGCAAGUAGAACGCUGAAGGAGGAGCUUGCUUCUCCGGAUGAGUUGCGAACGGGUGAGUAACGCGUAGGUAACCUGCCUGGUAGCGGGGGAUAACUAUUGGAAACGAUAGCUAAUACCGCAUAAGAGUAGAUGUUGCAUGACAUUUGCUUAAAAGGUGCAAUUGCAUCACUACCAGAUGGACCUGCGUUGUAUUAGCUAGUUGGUGAGGUAACGGCCCACCAAGGCGACGAUACAUAGCCGACCUGAGAGGGGGAUCGGCCACACUGGGACUGAGACACGGCCCAGACUCCUACGGGAGGCAGCAGUAGGGAAUCUUCGGCAAUGGACGGAAGUCUGACCGAGCAACGCCGCGUGAGUGAAGAAGGUUUUCGGAUCGUAAAGCUCUGUUGUAAGAGAAGAACGAGUGUGAGAGUGGAAAGUUCACACUGUGACGGUAUCUUACCAGAAAGGGACGGCUAACUACGUG